AGUCGUUAAAGAGGAGCGCGCGAGCCGCUUGCGAGACUUCCGCCACGGUGCCCGCGAGCCAGCAGACUGAGGAGGGAGGGGCGCGAGGAGGGGGCUGGGCUUAGGUGGCCACGCCCCCUCUCGGAGCGGCCAGGAACGCCUGAAGGGAGGGUUCCCACUUCCACCAAGCCUUCAUCAUUGAAUGUCCAAAGGGUCACAUUCUGUUGCCCAAAACUUUCCAUAGUGGAACAGGAAGGAUAGGCACACAGAACUGUGCUGAUGAAGCAUUAUGUUCAACAACAAUAACAACAAUAACAACAACAACAACAGAAAUAUUUAUUACAGUCCACAGAACCAUCUGUCAAUGAAUAGUCAUUUUGAAUUCUCCCAUCUCAGCAGAAGUACAAGAUCCAUCUACAUGGUUUCCACAAGAACAACAAAGGAUCACACAACAAGGAUGCAUUUCUUCCAAAAUGUAUAGCUGGCAUGUUGUUACACUUUUUUGUCAUUGCAGAGAUCGGAAUUCUCUAUAAUUUCUACAACAAUGAAAUUCUUCCCUCAACAUCUCCCUUGACUGACCAAUAGAGAGAUAGAAUCAACUCUCUUUCAACUCUUGAGUUCAACCCCCCCCCCUCCCAAAUUCUUUUCUGGCUACAGCCCUGGAUGUCAGCCAGCAUGCCAAUGACUUAAAUCAAGAAACAGCUUCAUAAGAUCCACAAAGAUACUCACAGGAACACCUCAGCAAGAAAGUAUCCAAAAGUGGCAGGUUAAAACUCAGAACUUCAAUUCAUGGCUGAGACCGGAUGAGAAACUCCCUCCUGGGCACAGAAGACUAGGUGAUUUGGAAGCCAUUGAACAGACUACGCUCUGGCACCACAAGAUGCAGAGCCAAUCUUAAGAAAUUGGGCUACAAAGUGGAGUCUGCGACAUGCAAGUGUGGAGAAGAGCAAACCACAGACCACUUACUACAUUGCAGUCUAAGCCCUACAACAGGGGUCCCCAAACUAAGGCCCGGGGGCCGGAUGCAGCCCUCCAAGGUCAUUUACCUGGCCCCCGCCCUCAGUUUUAUAAUAUAAUAUUUUUGUAUUAGUUUUAAUAAUAUAAUAUAUUGUAUAUACAUAUGAUAUUGAUAAUAGUAUUAUGUUAUACAAUAUAAUAUUAAUAAUAAUACCAUAUAAUAAUAUUAAUUAUAUGUUAUAUAUUACAUAACAUAUAAUAGUAUAGUGGUAUAGUUCAAUAUAGAAUUAUAUAAUGCUAAUAUUGUGCUAUGCUAAUAAUAUAAUAUAUUGUAUGUACAUAUACCUGCUCUGAGUCCCCUUCGGGGUGAGAAGGGUGGUAUAUAAAUGUAGUAAAUAAAUGCUGUAAAUAAAUAAUUAGUUGGCUCGGCCAAAGUCUGAAAUGACUUGAAGUCACACAACAACAACAAUCCUAAUUACCUUGACUAUUUCAUUGGCCAGUAGCAGGCCCACACUUUCCAUUGAAAUCCUGAUAGGUUUAUGUUGGUUAAAAUUGUUUUCAUUUUUAAAUAUUGUAUUGUUUUUUUGUUGUUGUUGUUGUUGUUUCACUACAAAUAAGACAUGUGCAGUAUGCAGAGGAAUUUGUAUUUUUUUUUCAAAUGAUAAUUCGGCCCCACAACAGUCUGAAGGAUUGUGGACCGGCCCUCUGCUUCAAAAGUUUGAGGACCCCUGCCCUACAACAUGCACAGCGACACCAGAGGCACUCCAAGUGACCAGCUUCUGAUCAAAGGAAAUUUAGUAUAAUGCCAAGUUUUUAACUUUGUGUUUUUAAAUACAUUAUAACUGUAAUCUCAA